GUCUAUGGCCAUGCUACCCUGAACAAGCCCAAUCCUGUCUGAUCUUGGAAGCUAAGCUGGGUCGGGCCUGGUUAAUACUUGGAUAGGAGACCACCUAGGAAGACCAGGUGCCGUAGGCG
rnacentral:rRNA from 1 species